ensembl:lncRNA
CAGGGGGAUGCUGGGAAAGAAGGGACUGAAGGGACAGAAGGGCGAGCAAGGCCCUCCUGGACUGGACCAGCCCUGUCCUGUGGGCACCAAUGGGGGUGGAGAACACCCUGGGGAGGCGGGGCAACCCUCAGGCGCCCCUUGCCCCCUGGGUCGGGAUGGAUUACCCAUACCUGGAUGUUGGCAUAAGUGAUGACUGACCCGGGACCUGGGAUCUGUACAUAUCGAUAUAUAUUUUUCAAAUAAAACUCAAGUGUUGUUUUUUGUUGUUGUUGCCAAUUCUAAUUUAAUAUAUUGAGUUUUUCGUAUUGGAAUUUAGAUUGUGGGUCUAUCACAAUCAAUAUUUUGUACUUUUUGCAUAUGAAAAGAAAACUAGUUUUUUUUUAGUUUAGAGAUGACUUACAAGAAGGAUAUCAUGCACACAAAGAGGAGAGACUGGUGACAAACGGAA